AGUCGAACGUUUGACUUCGGUCAGGCGUGGCGGACGGGUGAGUAACACGUGGGAACCUGCCCAGAGGUACGGGAUAACCCAGGGAAACUUGGGACAAUACCGUAUGUGACCUGAGGGUGAAAGAUUUAUCGCCUUUGGAUGGGCCCGCGUCGGAUUAGGUAGUUGGUGGGGUAAAGGCCUACCAAGCCGACGAUCCGUAGCUGGUCUGAGAGGAUGAUCAGCCACACUGGGACUGAGACACGGCCCAGACUCCUACGGGAGGCAGCAGUGGGGAAUAUUGGACAAUGGGCGCAAGCCUGAUCCAGCAAUGCCGCGUGAGUGAUGAAGGCCUUAGGGUUGUAAAGCUCUUUCGCACGCGACGAUGAUGACGGUAGCGUGAGAAGAAGCCCCGGCUAACUUCGUGCCAGCAGCCGCGGUAAU
rnacentral:rRNA from 1 species